rnacentral:rRNA from 1 species
ACACGUGAGUACGCUGCCCCUGACUCUGGAAUAACCGUGGGAAACGACGGCUAAUACCGGAUAUGAGACGUCCACGCAUGUGAGCGUCUGGAAAGAUUUAUCGGUCUGGGAUGGACUCGCGGCCUAUCAGCUUGUUGGUGGGGUAAUGGCCCACCAAGGCGACGACGGGUAGCCGGCCUGAGAGGGCGACCGGCCACACUGGGACUGAGAUACGGCCCAGACUCCUACGGGAGGCAGCAGUGGGGAAUAUUGCACAAUGGGCGCAAGCUGAUGCAGCGACGCCGCGUGGCGGGAUGAAGGCCUUCGGGUUGUAAACCCUUUCAGCAGGGAAGAAGCGAAAGUGACGGUACCUGCAGAAGAAGCGCCGGCUAACUACGUGCCAGCAGCCGCGGUAAUACGUAGGGCGCAACGUUGUCCGGAAUUAUUGGGCGUAAAGAGCUCGUAGGCGGUUUGUCGCGUCUGCUGUGAAAACCCGAGGCUCAACCUCGGGCUUGCAGUGGGUACGGGCAGACUAGAGUGCGGUAGGGGUGACUGGAAUUCCUGGUCGUAGGCGGUGAGAAUGCCGCGAGAUAUCAGGAGGAACACCGAUGGCGAAGGCAGGUCACUUGGGCCGCAACUGACGCUGAGGAGCGAAAGCAUGGGGAGCGAACAGGAUUAGAUACCCUGGUAGUCCAUGCCGUAAACGUUGGGCACUAGGUGUGGGGCUCAUUCCACGAGUUCCGUGCCGCAGCAAACGCAUUAAGUGCCCCGCCUGGGGAGUACGGCCGCAAGGCUAAAACUCAAAGGAAUUGACGGGGGCCGCACAAGCGGCGGAGCAUGCGGAUUAAUUCGAUGCAACGCGAAGAACCUUACCCAAGGCUUGACAUACACCGGAAAAGUGCAGAGAUGUGCUCCCCGCAAGGUCGGUGUACAGGUGGUGCAUGGUUGUCGUCAGCUCGUGUCGUGAGAUGUUGGGUUAAGUCCCGCAACGAGCGCAACCCUCGUCCUAUGUUGCCAGCACGUUAUGGUGGGGACUCAUAGGAGACUGCCGGGGUCAACUCGGAGGAAGGUGGGGAUGACGUCAAAUCAUCAUGCCCCUUAUGUCUUGGGCUUCACGCAUGCUACAAUGGCCGGUACAAAGGGCUGCGAUACCGCAAGGUGGAGCGAAUCCCAAAAAGCCGGUCUCAGUUCGGAUUGGGGUCUGCAACUCGACCCCAUGAAGUCGGAGUCGCUAGUAAUCGCAGAUCAGCAACGCUGCGGUGAAUACGUUCCCGGGCCUUGUACACACCG